rnacentral:tRNA from 1 species
GCUGAUAUAGCACAGCAGGUAGUGCACUUGCAUGGUAAGCAAGAGGUCGUUGGUUCAAAUCCAAUUGUCAGCACCA